rnacentral:rRNA from 1 species
UACGUAGGGUGCAAGCGUUGUCCGGAUUUACUGGGCGUAAGGAGCGCGCAGGCGGUCGUUCAAGUCGCGUGUGAAAGCCCCCGGCUCAACUGGGGAGGGUCACGCGAUACUGAUCGACUGGAAGGCAGGAGAGGGUAGUGGAAUUCCCGGUGUAGUGGUGAAAUGCGUAGAUAUCGGGAGGAACACCAGUGGCGAAGGCGACUACCUGGCCUGUUCUUGACGCUGAGGCGCGAAAGCUAGGGGAGCAAACGGG